UCCGCAGAGUUUCUCUCCUUCUCCCAACCUGUGUCGGGUCCUUCUUCCUGGAUUCUCACCGGGCGACUCCAGUUCUCACUCCCAUUAGGUAACAGGUUUUUAGAGAAGCCAGAGUCGCCGCGGUCCCAGUUCUAAAGUCCUCACUCACCCACUCGGACUCAGAUUCUCCCCAGACGCCAAGGAUGGUGGUCAUGGCGCCCCGAACCCUCCUCCUGCUGCUCUCGGGGGCUCUGGCCCUGACAGAGACCUGGGCGGGCUCCCACUCCAUGAGGUACUUCAGCGCUGCCGUGUCCCGGCCCGGCCGCAGGGAGCCCCGCUUCAUCGCCGUGGGCUACGUGGACGACACGCAGUUCGUGCGGCUCGAAAGCGACGCCGCGAGUCCGAGGAUGGAGCCGCGGGCGCCGUGGAUGAAGCAGGAGCGGCCGGAGUAUUGGGAAGAGGAGACACGGAGCACCAAGGCCCACGCACACACUGACCAAGUGAACCUGCGGACCCUGCGCAGCUACUACAACCAGAGCCAGGCCGGGUCUCACACCCUCCAGUGGAUGAUUGUUUGCGACCUGGGGCCCAACGGGCGCCUCCUCCGCAGGUGUGAACAGUUCGCCUACGAUGGCAAGGAUUACCUCGCCCUGAACGAGGACCUGUGCUCCUGAACCGCAGCGGACACUGUGGCUCAGAUCUCCAAGCACAAGUGUGAGGCGGCCAAAGCGACUGAAGGAAGGAGAGCCUACCUAGAGGCCACGUGAGUGGAGUGGCUCCACAGAUACCUGGAGAAUGGGAAGGAGAUGCUGCAUCGUGCGGACCCCCUACCAAGACACAUGUGACACCAUCCCAUCUCUGACCACGAGGCCACCCUGAGGUGCUGGGCCCUGGCCUUCUACCCAGAUCAUACUGACCUGGCAGCGGGAUGGGGAGGACCAGACCCAGGACACGGAGCUUGUGGAGACCAGGCCUGCAGGGAACGGAAUCUUCCAGAAGUGGGCAGCUGUGGUGGUGCCUUCUGGAGAGGAGCAGAGAUACACCUGCCAUGUGCAGCAUCAGGGACUGCCUGAGCCCCUUACCCUGAGAUGGGAGUGGUCUUCUCAGUCCACCAUCUCCAUCGUGGGCAUCAUUGCUGGCCUGGUUCUCCUUGGAGCUGUGGUCACUGGAGCUGUGGUUACUGCUGUGAUGUGGAGGAGGAAGAGCUCAGAUAGAAAAGGAGGGAGCUACUCUCAGGCUGCAAGCAGUGACAGUGCCCAAGGUUCUGAUGUGUCUCUCACGGCUUGUAAAGGUGACACCCUGGGGGGCCUGAUGUGUGUGGGGUGUUCAGGGGAACAGUGGAUGCAGCUGUGCUAUGGGGUUUCUUUGGGUUGGAUGUUUUGA